rnacentral:lncRNA from 1 species
UCUGGUUUUACUUGUGUUGUAGGUUAUUUCUUCUGGUUUCCUGUGUUUUGUAGGUUAUUCUCUGGUUUACUGUGUUGUAGGUUAUUUCUCUGGUUUACUGUGUUGUAGGUUAUUUCUGUGGUUUACUGUGUGUAGGUUAUUUCUCUGGUUUACUGUUUGUAGGUUAUUUCUGUGGUUUUACUGUGUGUUGUAGGUUAUUUCUCUGGUUUACUGUGUUGUAGGUUAUUUCUCUGCGUUUUACUGUGUGUUGUAGGUUAUUUCUCUGGUUUUACGUGUUGUAGGUUAUUUCUCUGGUUACUGUGUGUUGUGUUGUAGGUUAUUUCUCUGGUUUUACUGGUGUGUAGGUUAUUUCUGUGGUUAUCAACCGACC